ACUUGGCCCCUAACACAAUGAUCUAGUAGAUGGCAUCAAAGUGUUCAGAAGAGACAUUGGAGCAACAUCUUCGGAUCCUGAACUUGGCAGCAAACGUAUGUUGGAGCCAUUCAGUAAUCUAGAGAAGAAACUAAACAGUUGCUGUGUGCCAUCUACAUGCCCCACUGUUAAGAAGAGGAAAGAAGUUUUAUGAUGACAAAAGUGACACCUGAGGAAACCAGAGCAUAACAUCUCUGCUGGCUGGAAACAUGUAUUAAAGGAGGUAACAAAAAUCCAGAGGAAAUGUCUUUGAAAAAUAGUUAAUACACAUGGGCUACAGCUGCCUUUUAAAGAUUAAUUUCUUGGCCAUUUUCAAUGUGGUUUUUAUUAUCAAAAGCCAAUGGACCAUAUUACUGAAAUCUUGCUUUGUAAAUUCCUUUUGCACUUCUUGAGCCUGUUCUAUUCCACAGAAUUUGGUCCUUUCCUUGGCAGACUGACACAGUUGUUCACUCAGAGCUGGGCCUGGGGUGUCCCAGCUUAGUGCUUGGUGUCACUGGAGGAAGCAGCACUCCUUGUGUUUGUCCUGAGCAGUUAAGGGGAGAAAAAAGAUGGAGAUCUGAGUCUUUGUUUAAAAUGUGGUUUGCAAGGCUGCAAACAUAACUUUGCAGAGUCAUACACAUGGGUGUAGAUAUUUGCAUGCAUUAAAUAUGUGGAAGAGUUUAGAGAGCUGGAAUCAUACUUUUAAAAAUGUGGUUUUAUUGAAGCUGCACUAGUUCUAACUGGAUUAUUAUAAUUUCUUUCUGUUGUUGAUUCCCUAUAGCAUUUGAAAAUUAACUAAAGACUGUAUCAAAAACACUCACCACUUAUUAUUUUCUUUUUCCUUUUCCUGGCCAUCCCCUUU